AUAGGGAAAUGGACUGAAAAGUAUCCCCAAAUGUACACAGCAGUUUUCUCUGGAGAUGCAGUGCUUCCAGAUUUUCCAACGAUGACUGGUUGGCUCUGACAGUCAGAAGAGAAAACAGGUCCCUCAGGCGGGGAAGGAGAGGACAAGCCGGGGGCAGGCAGAGCUCCGCCGGCAGGAGGGCCGGGCGCUGGCCGGGCAGCCGGGGAGGUGGGCCGUCUGCCUCGCGCGGGACUGGUUGUGACAGGCGCGCUGUGCCUCUGUGACUUGGGUCUCCUCCAAGCUGGCAGGCACCCUCGCUGACACACGAGACGCGCGGCUUAGCUGGGGCUUUCCUUCAGUUACUGCUCCAGUUACCCGCAACUUUAAGGAGCUUCCCUCCCAGGACUUCUGAAAGCAGGAGAAAGUUACUGCAGCUGCUAACAGGAUCCUUGUGAUGGCUUUGGGUUGCUGCCAAGAGUGGACCAGAAACCAAACUUCUAUUGGACAAGCCCCUGCCAGCCUCCCCGAGAUCAAAAAGGUGCCAAGGAUGAGGGUCGUUCCAGCAUUAACUGUGUGACUGUGGGCAGGACAGUUCAUUUUUCUUCGUUGGAAAACACGAAUAAGAAUUACAACACCCCUCUGACAAUACAGUGACA